rnacentral:rRNA from 1 species
UCCAGACUCCUACGGGAGGCAGCAGUGGGGAAUAUUGGGCAAUGGGCGCAAGCCUGACCCAGCGACGCCGCGUGAGGGAAGACGGUCUUCGGAUUGUAAACCUCUUUCAGCAGGGAAGACAAAAGGACGGUACCUGCAGAAGAAGCCAAGGCUAACUACGUGCCAGCAGCCGCGGUAAUACGUAGGUGGCAAGCGUUAUCCGGAUUUAUUGGGUUUAAAGGGUGCGUAGGCGGGCUUUUAAGUCAGCGGUAAAAAUUCGGGGCUCAACCCCGUCCGGCCGUUGAAACUGGGGGCCUUGAGUGGGCGAGAAGAAGGCGGAAUGCGUGGUGUAGCGGUGAAAUGCAUAGAUAUCACGCAGAACCCCGAUUGCGAAGGCAGCCUUCCGGCGCCCUACUGACGCUGAGGCACGAAAGUGCGGGGAUCGAACAGGAUUAGAUACCCCCGUAA